rnacentral:rRNA from 2 species
GACGAACGCUGGCGGCGUGCCUAACACAUGCAAGUCGAACGAAGAAUGUUUUUCGGAAUAUUCUUAGUGGCGGACGGGUGAGUAACGCGUGAACAAUCUGCCCCGUACAAAGGGAUAGCCUCGGGAAACCGGGAUUAAAACCAUAUAACACUUAACUGCCGCAUGGUAGUGAAGUCAAAUCGAUUAAGAGGUAUGGGAUGAGUUCGCGUCUGAUUAGCUAGUUGGUGAGGUAAGGGCUCACCAAGGCGACGAUCAGUAGCCGGCCUGAGAGGGUGAACGGCCACACUGGAACUGAGACACGGUCCAGACUCCUACGGGAGGCAGCAGUGGGGAAUAUUGCACAAUGGAGGGAACUCUGAUGCAGCGACGCCGCGUGAGUGAAGAAGGUCUUCGGAUCGUAAAACUCUGUCCUUGGUGAAGAAAAGGACGGUAGCCAAGGAGGAAGCCCCGGCUAACUACGUG